GUAGGUUUGUGUGUGGAUGGUGUUCAGCACCAGGGACAGGUCUGUAUGCCAGUGUAUAAAUGGUGCUCAGCACCAAGGACAGUCCUAUAUGCCA
rnacentral:pre_miRNA from 1 species